UGCAACGCGAAGGCCCUUACCUGGUUUUGACAUCCACAGAACUCUCCAGAGAUGGAUUGGUUCCUUCGGGAACCGUGAACCAGGUGGUGCAUGGCUGUUGUCAACUCGUGUUGUGAAAUUUUGGGUUAAAUCCCCCAAAGAGGCCAACCCUUAUCCUUUGUUGCCACCCGUUAAGUCGGGCACUCAAAGGAGACUGCCAGUGAUAAACUGGAGGAAGGUGGGGAUGACGUCAAGUCAUCAUGCCCCUUAUGACCAGGGCUACACACGUGCUACAAUGGCGUAUACAAAGGGAAGCGACAUCGCGAGGUCAAGCAAACCUCAAAAAGUAGGUCUCAGUCCGGAUUGCAGUCUGCAACUCGAAUACAUGAAGUCGGAAUCGCUAGUAAUCGCAGCACAGCCU
rnacentral:rRNA from 1 species